AAACGCUGGUCCUGUCCUGCACGAACAGGAAGCACAGCACCUCCCACGCCAGGGCCUUCACUGGCAGUCUGUGUUCCCGAGCGCUAGCGUCAGGCAGGGCCCCGGCCAGGGGCUCGACGAGGGUGACCUCCUUCCGCUCGCUCAAGUACCCUCUGGUUACCAAGUGACCCAAGUUCCCUAGAAGUGGUGUUCCCUUACCACUUUUGUAAUCGAAAGAAAAAAAGCUUUAAAAAACCAUCUAGACUCAUCCAGACCCAAGGGAUCACAGACAGUAAAGAGAGG
ensembl:lncRNA